rnacentral:lncRNA from 1 species
GCUUUCCGGUCUCUUUCUUCCGCUCUCUUUCUUCUGCACUCUUCUUUUCUCUCUCACUUUCUCUUCUGUCUGGGUUUCUAGACUAUCUCUUCUGUCUGGGUUUUUCUAGAGUCUCUUCUGUCUGGAAUGGAGGCCUAACUCUUCUGUCUGGAAUGGAGGUCCAACUGUGUUAAGUGUUACAAACAGUAAUUAAGAACAGUGUUAUGAGCAGCGUUUUUAGUUGUUUACACAGUCGACAGAAAAUAUAUAUGGUAAAUAUCAUUGUACAAGGUUUUCUAUUGUUAACUUUCUACUCAUUAUCAAAUAUAUGCGUUCCUGUCGUUGAAGCCAGACUCAUAUUACUAUAUUUAUUCAAACAGGUUUGUCCAUCUCCAAUCUAAAUAUGAAAAUUUCGCAUAGCCUAAUGAUGCUAAAACAAUCUCUACACUUAGUGGCAUGUUGAUGGCAUUCAACUCAGCAAUUUGAAGAAGAAACUGACCAACUUAAAAAC